GCAGCCGCGGUAAUACGGAAGGUCCGGGCGUUAUCCGGAUUUAUUGGGUUUAAAGGGAGCGCAGGCGGAGAUGCAAGCGUGCCGUGAAAUCGCGGGGCUCAACCCCGUCCAGCGGCGCGAACUGCAUCCCUUGGUUGCGGGAGAGGAAGGCGGAACUCGUGGUGUAGCGGUGAAAUGCAUAGAUAUCACGAAGAACUCCGAUCGCGAAGGCAGCCUUCCGGCCCGUUAACGACGCUCAUGCUCGAAGGCGCGGGUAUCAAACAGGAUUAGAUACCCC
rnacentral:rRNA from 1 species